GACGAACGCUGGCGGCGUGCCUAAUACAUGCAAGUCGAACGGUCUUUUCUAUGGAAGCUUGCUUCCACUGAGAAGAUAGUGGCGAACGGGUGAGUAACACGUGGGUAACCUGCCCAUAAGAGGGGGAUAACAUCCGGAAACGGGUGCUAAUACCGCAUAGUUUUCUUGAUCGCAUGAUCGAGAAAGGAAAGACGGCCUUUGUGCUGUCGCUUAUUGAUGGACCCGCGGCGUAUUAGUUAGUUGGUGAGGUAACGGCUCACCAAGACGAUGAUACGUAGCCGACCUGAGAGGGUGAUCGGCCACAUUGGGACUGAGACACGGCCCAAACUCCUACGGGAGGCAGCAGUAGGGAAUCUUCCGCAAUGGACGAAAGUCUGACGGAGCAGCGCCGCGUGAGUGAAGAAGGUUUUCGGAUCGUAAAACUCUGUUGUCAGAGAAGAACAAGUCGGAGAGUAACUGCUCCGGCCUUGACGGUAUCUGACCAGAAAGCCACGGCUAACUACGUGCCACCAGCCGCAGUAAUAC
rnacentral:rRNA from 1 species